UUGGUCAUCGUGUCGCUGUGCGAGUGCCUUUGUGGAUGGCGGUGUUAUUGAAUCGACUGGUGAGGAUCGUCAACAUGGUAGAGGGAAAAGUGACGCCAAAGCCGCCAUUAACGGCGCGGCCGCGGUGGCGCUAGUCUAGCGAUGGCGGGAGUCAACAACAUGGCGUCCGCAAAGCUUCUAUUGUUCUCUUCACAAAGGGACGCUAAGAUAAAUCUGCCGGCGUCUUGCUUUGGUCGUUUAUGUUGAGGGAGUUCAGAUGAUAGUGAAGAUCGACACCAUGGCAGACAUAAUUUUCCGAGUGCUGAUUUAUUUUCUAAUUGGAGUCAAG